GUGCUCACUUUGGCAGCAUAUAUACUAAAAUUGGAUUGAUACAGAGAAGAUUAGCAUGGCCCCUACACAAAGAUGACAUGCAAAUUCAUGAAGCAUUCCAUAUUUUU
ensembl:snRNA U6 U6 spliceosomal RNA